UGGACAAAUGAUUAAGAAAUCGAGAUAAUUGAAUAAAAACCUUUAAAAUUAUUAAGCCAUAUUUUAUAGCUUUUAUCCAGCCCUAGCCUUCUUGGCCGGAAUCCCUCUCCCGCUCGCGUCCCCGCCGGCGAAGCCCCAGCUGGUGUCCUCCCUCUUGCACGCGCCCAAUCGCCGGCCACCGUUCUCCCUUUUCCACGCCGACUUGCUUCCUCCUCUCGCCGAAAGCCCUUACCCUUUUGGCCGAAGCUCUCGCCGAAUUCUAUCUCCAUCGCCGCUGGUGAGCCUCCCGCCGGCGACAUACUCUCCUCCCUGCUGGCCGCGUCCCCUUUUACUCUCACCCGAAACUCACGCACGGGGUUCCCCUUCACUCUGAAACCUCACCCGCUGGCAAACGGCACGGUCACCUUCUUCCCUCUCGCCGGAGGUCCUCGCCUGGCUUCUCUUCCCCUCGGUCGAAGGCCACGGGCGGUGCGUCGGCCCUGGCAUUUUACCUCGCCAGACGCCCGUCUUCUUUCUCUCUCAAGGUCUACCCUGUCGGCCUGGAAACCUCGCCGGUGACAUCACCCGCCAGCGAGCCCUCACUGCCGAAGCUCGCCGUCCCGCUUCCUCCUCUUUGCUGAAACCCUCGCCGGAGCUCGGGCCAUUGACAAAAAGACACAGGAUUCCCGGCUUGCAGGAAGCAUCGAAGCACUCUCCGUCAACCAUUACGAAGGAAAAUAUGAGCUCAAUGAUUUCAGGAACAUUCUGACGAUUUCUCUGCCACUGUAGCCUCUAGGCUUCCCAACUGACGUCAAGUCGGUCGCACAACUACGGAAGAAAAUUCUUACCCGCCCUCGGGGCGUCGCUAAACAGUAUCGCUUCUUCCGUUGGGCAGACAAUUCGACAGAUUCCCCUGACGACAGUGAUCCGGAAUAGAGAACAUUCAUUGAGGAAAGUCUAGCACGGGAGUUACACCGUCAGGAUGUUAAAAAUAAUAAAUUCGAAGGUCUUCAUAUUUUACUGUGUUUCUGAUGCCAUGACUGUAUCCACUCUAUGUACUUGCUCUACUACAAAUGGAAUGCAAAUUUCAAGAGCUUCAACAAACUUAUUUACUGAUGCGAAACCUUCGAUUUCCUUACGUAAAUCUCCACUCUUUCUCAACCCAUUUAAUAUUUACAAAAGCAAGCAAAUUGCAAGAAGUCAUUUUUCAUUCAGAAGUGAAUCCUCUUCAGUUGAGGUUGGAAACUUACCUAUUACACCAAAACCAAAGUUUCAGCUUGACGAUGUAAUUGAGUCCCAACAAUUUGAAAGAGAUACCUUAGAUGAUAUCUUCAAAGUGGCUCUGGAGAUGGAAUCGAUUGAGAAGAAUUCAUCUGGAAGCAAAAUAUUAGAUGGUUUCUUGAUGGCGACCUUGUUUUAUGAGCCUUCAACAAGAACCAGACUUUCCUUUGAAUCCGCAAUGAAAAGAUUGGGAGGAGAGGUUUUGACGACUGAAAAUGCACGAGAAUUUUCUUCAGCUGCAAAAGGAGAAACUCUCGAAGACACUAUAAGGAUAGUUGAAGGCUACUCUGAUAUAAUUGUGCUUCGUCACUUUGAAAGUGGGGCUGCCAGAAGGGCGGCUGCUACUGCAAAUAUUCCGAUUAUUAAUGCAGGAGAUGGCCCUGGACAGCAUCCAACUCAGGCUCUUUUAGAUGUCUACACAAUCGGAAGAGAAUUAGGAAGAUUUGAUGGAAUAAAAUUGGGCCUGGUGGGUGAUCUUGCUAAUGGAAGAACUGUUCGUUCGCUGGCUUAUUUGAUUUCAAAGUACCAAGAUAUCAAAAUCUACUUCAUCUCUCCUGAUGUUGUUAAGAUGAAGGAUGAUAUAAAAGAGUAUCUGACAGCAAAGGGUGUUGAAUGGGAAGAAAGCAGUGAUCUGUUGGAUGUGGCAUCAAAAUGUGAUGUAAUAUAUCAAACGAGGAUCCAGCGAGAAAGAUUUGGUGAGAGAAUAGAUUUGUAUGAAGCAGCUCGUGGAAAAUACGUAGUAGACAAUCAUGUUUUGAAUGUGAUGCCAAAGCAUGCAGUUUUGAUGCAUCCCCUUCCAAGACUUGACGAGAUUGCACUGGAAGUGGAUUCUGAUCCCAGAGCUGCUUAUUUUAGACAAGCAAAGAAUGGAUUGUUCAUAAGAAUGGCUGUUUUAAAGCUUCUACUUCUGGGUUGGAGAUGAAAGGGAGUUUACCAUCUUACAGAAUUGAAUCCAGGGGAAAUCACCGUGAGCUGAGAAUGAGGUGGACUUUUAUCUUAUUUUUGCUCCUCUGGAUGAGACUCAGUCGAAAUUUUUUUUUUUCCUGCAAGAACUGGCAGUAAAGAGAUGGAACUCAGUGACGCUUCUUUAUAAUAAGUAUUAGUCUUGGAUCUACGUAUUUAUUUUUGUGGGAAUGCGUUGAAUCA